rnacentral:rRNA from 4 species
UACGUAGGUGGCAAGCGUUGUCCGGAAUUAUUGGGCGUAAAGCGCGCGCAGGCGGAUUGGUCAGUCUGUCUUAAAAGUUCGGGGCUUAACCCCGUGAUGGGAUGGAAACUGCCAAUCUAGAGUAUCGGAGAGGAAAGUGGAAUUCCUAGUGUAGCGGUGAAAUGCGUAGAUAUUAGGAAGAACACCAGUGGCGAAGGCGACUUUCUGGACGAAAACUGACGCUGAGGCGCGAAAGCCAGGGGAGCGAACGGG